GAUGAACGCUGGCGGCGUGCCUAACACAUGCAAGUCGAGCGCGAUUAAGUGGAGUGAGGACUUCGGUCUAAGUGAAGCUUAUGAAAGCGGCGGACGGGUGAGUAACGCGUGGGUAACCUGCCCCAUACAAAGGGAUAGCCACUGGAAACGGUGAUUAAUACCUUAUAAGUCGGUAGUCUCGCAUGAGACAGCCGACAAAGAUUUAUCGGUAUGGGAUGGACCCGCGUCUGAUUAGCUAGUUGGUGAGGUAACGGCUCACCAAGGCGACGAUCAGUAGCCGACCUGAGAGGGUGAUCGGCCACACUGGAACUGAGACACGGUCCAGACUCCUACGGGAGGCAGCAGUGGGGAAUAUUGCACAAUGGGCGCAAGCCUGAUGCAGCAACGCCGCGUGAGUGAUGAAGGCUUCGGGUCGUAAACUACUGUCCUA
rnacentral:rRNA from 1 species